GUGGGGAAUCUUGCGCAAUGGGCGAAAGCCUGACGCAGCCAUGCCGCGUGAAUGAUGAAGGUCUUAGGAUUGUAAAAUUCUUUCACCGGGGACGAUAAUGACGGUACCCGGAGAAGAAGCUCCGGCUAACUUCGUGCCAGCAGCCGCGGUAAUACGAAGGGGGCUAGCGUUGCUCGGAAUUACUGGGCGUAAAGGGCGCGUAGGCGGACAGCUUAGUCAGAGGUGAAAGCCCAGGGCGCAACCUUGGAAUUGCCUUUGAUACUGGCUGUCUUGAGUUUGGGAGAGGUGAGUGGAACUCCGAGUGUAGAGGUGAAAUUCGUAGAUAUUCGGAAGAACACCAGUGGCGAAGGCGACUCACUGGCCCAAUACUGACGCUGAGGCGCGAAAGCGUGGGGAGCAAACAGGAUUAGAAACCCGUGUAGUCC
rnacentral:rRNA from 1 species